rnacentral:rRNA from 1 species
UACGGAGGGUGCAAGCGUUGUCCGGAUUUAUUGGGUUUAAAGGGUGCGCAGGCGGCCCUUUAAGUCAGCGGUGAAAGUCCAGCGCUUAACGCUGGGAUUGCCAUUGAUACUGAAAAGCUUGAGUACAGUUGAGGUAGGCGGAAUUGACGGUGUAGCGGUGAAAUGCUUAGAUAUCGUCAAGAACACCGAUUGCGAAGGCAGCUUACUAAGCUGUAACUGACGCUGAGGCACGAAAGUGUGGGGAUCAAACAGGAUUAGAAACCCCCGUAGUCC